UACAGAGGUCCCAAGCGUUGUCCGGAUUUACUGGGCGUAAAGGGCGUGCAGGCGGUUUGUUAAGUGCAGGGUGAAAGCUCCCGGCUCAACUGGGAGAGGUCCUUGCAUACUGGCAAACUCGAGGGAGGCAGAGGAAAGUGGAAUUCCCGGUGUAGUGGUGAUAUGCGUAGAUAUCGGGAGGAACACCUGUGGCGAAGGCGGCUUUCUGGGCCUUACCUGACGCUGAGACGCGAAAGCGUGGGGAGCGAACAGG
rnacentral:rRNA from 1 species